CCCGCCAUCUUGCCGUUUUUGCAUUCAUCCUCGGUCAGACCUCAUGGAAAAUGGAAUUAGAUUCUAAUUAUCUGCGUGAAAAUGAUUUAGAUUCAAGUAACGAAGAAGUGUAAGACCUUACUGAUGUCCUAGACACUGGAGAUGAUGAAAAUACAGUUUUGAACGCAAUUUUGAACUCUUUCUCUACACAUCAACUGAGAAUUUAUAAAGGAAAAAAGGAGUGAAUGGGUAUCCCUUAUCAACUGGGACUGUUACUUCCUGAGAAAGAACCAGGAAUUCAGCUGGCUGAGAUGAGGACAGGAGACAGUACAAUGAAGUUUUAUGGACUUACAAUACAAGCUGGGGAUUAUCAACACUCAUUUUGACAGAUUCUGAAGCAAGAAUUUACUCUAUGCUCUACAAUGGACUGCGGCUCAAGCUUUCAUAUCACGCUAUUGCUUCAAAGCUGUCAUGCUUUUUGAAAGAUGUACUAUCAAGAUACUGAACAUACAAAGGACAUAUUAUACAAAUAAUGCAUCCUACUUACAUCAAAAUUAAGUGCAGUAAAUUGUUGUAGGUUUAUACAAUAUUUCCAUAGAUAAGACAAUGGUGAAUGGUUAGGAAGCAUAUUUUUCUUGACAAUACAUUAUGAUUGUGGAUAAGCCAACAGUAGGGUAUGCAAUUAUGAGCUUUUGGCUGAUCACUGACAGGUUACACAUAUGGUUUUGUUUUUUUUUAAUUUUAUUAUUCUGGUCAGUGGGCCAGAUGGAUUAGUUUAUGUGGUGGAUGAAAGUGAUCAGUUAAUAAAACUGUUAUGUCCUUCGGUAAACAAUUAAGUACUAGAACU